UCAGGACGAACGCUGGCGGCGUGCCUAACACAUGCAAGUCGAACGGACGAGGGGAGCUUGCUCCCCGAGUUAGUGGCGAACGGGUGAGUAACGCGUGAGCAACCUGCCUUUCAGUGGGGGACAACGGUUGGAAACGACCGCUAAUACCGCAUAAUACAGCGAAGGGGCAUCCCUCUGCUGUCAAAGAUUUAUUGCUGAAAGAUGGGCUCGCGUCUGAUUAGAUAGUUGGUGGGGCAACGGCCUACCAAGUCGACGAUCAGUAGCCGGACUGAGAGGUUGAACGGCCACAUUGGGACUGAGAUACCGGCCCAGACUCCUACGGGAGGCAGCAGGUGGGGAAUUAAGUUGGGCAAGUACGGGGGAAACCCUCGACCCAGCAACGCCGCGUAGAAGGAAGAAGGCCGUUCGGGUUAGUAAACUUCUUUUACCGAGGGACGAAGGACGUGACGGUACCUGGAGAAAAAGCCACGGCUAACUACGUGCCAGCCGCGGC
rnacentral:rRNA from 1 species